rnacentral:lncRNA from 1 species
UUUAGAUAUUUUUUUAGUAAUUCUAUACCAUUUUUAUAUGUAGUUACAGUCUGUGUAGCUUAAUUCUUUUAUUUGACUAUGUAUAGAUAUGUAUGGAAAGGACUACGCCGCAGCCUCUUCUUCGCGGAUUCUCAACACUAGUGAUGAAGCCGUAGAACCAUCGUCACGUCAUGACGGUCACAACACCUUGGGCACAUACAAGGAUGGGCAGGACAACUGCACAUCCACUGGUCAUGAUGAGUCCGGCACCGCCACAAAUCCUGAAGCCGCGGCCGAUCGCGACGAAGGGACCGACCAAGGGGACCAGGCAGCUGGACAACACAAAAGGCAACGCAAGCCUAGGCGCCGAAACAUGCUCGGCACCGAUAGGAUUGUUAUCAACCGAGUGUCUGAGGCGGGUCUACCUGUUAGUCCCAAGAAGGCCAAACAAGGUUACAGGAAUGCACUAGGCUGCAUCCUUCGCGAAACCGUGAGCAUUAAUGAAACCAAUCUCAGGUCGAAAGCGAACGGGAAUUUGCGAGCGCUCCUCAUAUCGAAGCUGCACACUCAUUACAAGUUCCCGGAUGUAUCCCUCAACGAGACCACUCUGGUAAACAACAGAGCCCUCUGCAAGUGGUCCAAGCUUUUGAGUAGUUGGAAAUCCAAGGCCAAAAACGAAUACCUUAAGAAAGAUUAUGAAACUGAGAUAAAAAAGAUGUGGCCUUCGGUUUCCGAGGAGGACUGGAACCUGUUCAAGCAGCACUGCGAGACCCCUGAAGUCAAGGAGAUGGAAAAAUGGGGAAAGGAUAUGCGGGCUAAGAACAUUGGUAACCACACCCUUGGAAGCCGUGGUUACCCAGGAAAGAAGCCGAAGUGGGACAAGCAGGACACUGAAUUCACUGCAGCAGGCGACUAUCCUGUCAUGGUGUUGGAGACGAGGAGUAGGAGGGCACACGCAUCGGAGACCGCGUUGCCGUCGCCGCAGCGCCCUCAACUCACGCACGCUGGAAGCAGGGGGAAUGCGCCGACCAGUGGCCGCUCCGGUAAGUACAAGACUCUCUAGUUCCACAUCGGUAGUAAUCGCCGAGUAGAUUAACUAAGACUUGUAGCUGCACAGUAAUAGGGUUACAUGGGCUGGAACAGGGGGGAGUAAUAAGGAGAUCUGUUUCUCUCCUACUUCAGCGACACUUUUUUGAUUCGUUUUUUAAGCUGGAAACCCAGUUCACGUGUAUGAUAUAUCCUUCUUGUUUUUAGACGACCCAGGUGAUUUACCAAUCUUUUCCAGAAAAUCCAGUCUCUUACAGUUAGAUUGUCUAGUUUGUGAUUAGGUCCCACUGCUUGAAGCUGUAGAUAGUUCUUUGAAUAAUGGUAUGAAUAACCCAAAAGCAAUCCAAUCCCAUAAAAGGGACAUUUUUAUACAUGGUUGGAACUUCUGAUGCGUAUAGUAAAGUAUCGAAGAGGUAUUGAGGAAGUUACAUAUUCUCUGGCAGUGUGGUUAGUGGUGCUUAUAGCAUCAAGGAGGGAUCAUAUGUAUGAAUAUGUAGUGGUAUUUAUAUCAUUAAGUCAAGCCCUUGUGUCAGACAGAAUUUGCUGGGCAUGUAAGGUCGACUGGUCUGUGCUUUUUGUAAGUGAUAGUGAUCCCGAGUCGGUUGAAAACGUGGACUCUAGAUUUUCUGUAAGCUGUCAAAUUUUCAUGAUAUAUAUUCAGAAGUAUAUGUUCUACUGAAAUGCCCAAUUGAUGGUGUUUCUACAGGUCAGGUUAAUGAGGAUGUCGAGAGCAGAUUCCAGCAUUUGGCAAGUUCAGUACAAAAUGAUGUUAUGCAGUUAAAGGCGACGACCAGAGAGGACGAGGGAGGCACGCACACCCAAGACGUCGUUGCCGUCGUUCCACGGAUGACGAGGAAGAGGGCAAGGGAGGCAUGCGCAUCGGAGACUGCGUUGCCAUCGUUGCAGCACACUCGACUCACGCGUAAUGGGAGCAAGGGGGAGGCGCCGACCAGUGGUUGCUCCGGUAAGUGGAAGACUGUAUUAGCACCAUAAAUCUUUUUAGUCCCACAUUGCAUUGGUAGUAGUAAACACCAAAUUGAUUACCUAGAGACCUGUAGCUGUACAGUGAUAGAGGUGUAGGCAUAAAUGUCUACGGUUACAGAGUGAAAAAACCCGAACUCACAUGUAUAUAUAUAUAUAUAUCCUUCUGAUUUUAAGAUGACCCAAGUGAUUUAACACUCUUCCAGAAAAUAUCUUACAAUUAGAUUCUCUAGUUUGUGAUUAGGUCCCACUGCUUGAAGCUCUAGACAAAUAUUUGGAUAAAGCUGUCAAAUUUUCAUGAUAUUCAGAAGUAUAUGUUCUGGUGAAAUGAAAUGCCCAAUUGAUGGUGUUUCGACAGAUCAGGUUAAUAAGGAUGUCGAGAGCAGAUUCCGGCAUUUGGCAAGUUCAGUACAAAAUGAUGUUAUGCAGUUAGAGGCAGCGACUGGAGAGGACGGGGGAGGCGCGCGCAUCCAAGACCUCGUUACCAUUGUUACACGGAUGACGAGGAGGGCGGCGAGGGAGGCAUGCGCAUCAGAGACCGCAUUGGUGUCAUUGCAACGUAUUCGACUCACACGCGGCGGAAGCAGGGGGGAGGCGCCGACCAGUGGCCGCUCCGGUAAAUGGAAGACUGUACUACCAUCGUAAAACUUUUUAGUCCCGCAUCACAUUGGUAGUAGUAAUCACUAAAUAGAUUACCUAGAGACCUGUAGCUGUACAGUGGUAGAGGUAUAGGCAUAGAUAUCUAGGGUUACAGGGUGACAAAAAACCAACUCACAUGGAGGCAUCACUGGAUCGCAAGUCCCCCCUAAUUCGUACUUUUGGUGAAAAGGGCCAUCAUAACUGGUGCUAGUUAUUUCCCCAGGAGUUAUCCAGAAGAUAUCUUACAAUGGGAUUAUCUAGUUCGUGAUUAGGUCCGACUGCUUGAAGCUAUAGAUAAAUCUUCAACUAAUGAUAUGGACAUGACAAGUCUUAGUAGCCUACUACUGAAACUAGAUGAAAUAACAUCCUUAUAGCCCAAAGCCCAACUAAUUGCUAGCUGUCCCAGCUGCGACACCUGCAAAGGAUUAUAUGGUUGGGUAAGCAAUUGAUAACCCAAGGACAAUCCAAUCCGAUAACAGGGGAAUUUUUAGUUCUAGUUCCUAGCAAAUAUUUAGUUCCUAGAAAUUUUCAGUAAUUAUGGAUUUGAUAGAUAUUUUUUUAGUAAUUCUAUAGCAUUUCUAUAUGUAGUUACAUUUUGUGCUUAAUUAUUUUAUUUAACAAUUUACAGAUAUGUCUGGAAACGACUCCGACGCAGCCUCUUCUUCACGGACGAUAAGCGCGGGCGAUGAAGCUGUAGAACCGUCACCACGUCAUGGCGAUCCCGACGCUUUGGGCACAUUCAUGGAUGGGCAGGACGACUACACAUCCACUGUUCAUGAUGAGUCAGGCACCGCCACAAAUCCUGCAGAUGCGACCGAUCGUGACGAAGGGACCGGCCAAGGGGACCAGGAAGCUGGACAACCUAAAAAGCAACGCAAACCUAGGCGCCGAAACAUGCUUGGCACCAAUAGGAUUGUUAUCAACCGAGUGUCUGAGGCGGGUCUACCUCUUAGUCCCAAGAAGGCCGAACGAGGUUACAGUAAUGGCCUAGGCUGCAUCCUUCGUGAAACCGUGAGCAUUAAUGAAACCAAUCUCAGGUCGAAAGCCAACGAGAAUCUGCGAGCACUCCUCAUAUCGAAGUUGCACACUCAUUACAAGUUCCCGGAUGAGUCCCUAGACGAGACUACUCCGGUAAAUAACAGAGCCCUCUGCAAGUGGUCCAAGGUUUUGAGUACAUGGAAAUCCAAAGCCAAAAGCGAAUACCUUGAGAAAGAUUACAUAACUGAGAUAAAAAAGAAGUGGCCUUCGGUUUCUGAGGAGGACUGGAACCUGUUCAAGCAGCACUGCAAGACCCCUGAAGUCAAGGAGAUGGAAAAAUGGGGGAAGGAUAUGCGGGCAAGGAACAUUGGCAACCACACCCUUGGAAGCCGUGGUUACCCAGGGAAGAAGCCAAAGUGGGACAAGCAGGAUGCUGAGUUUGCUGCAGCAGGCAUACCAAACCCCUUCAAGGAAUUUGAAAACCCGCGUGAAAAUGAUUACAUCAGGAGCCGGUGCAAAUAUGAUGAAGAGACUAAGACAUGGGUCUUGGACGAGAAAACGAUGAAAGUCAAGGAACUCCUGGUAAUUGAUUAACCUGCUUAUUUUUUGUUAUGCU